AGCGGAGCGGGGCCGGGCGGCCGGCUGAGCGGGCCCGCUGGCUGGACCACUGCGGGCCCGAGGCGCUCCAGCACUAGACCUCCGCGGCCCGGCGCCGCACGGAGAUGGGCCCUCCGCGGCAGCCGCAGCCCGGCGACAUGGAAGCGGGAGGUGCGGGCUGCGGGCGGCGGCUGCAGGUGGAAAUGAGUUCUCAACAGUUUCCGCGGUUAGGAACCCCUUCCACUGGGCUAAGCCAGGCUCCUUCACAGAUUGCAAACAGUGGUUCUGCAGGACUGAUAAACCCAGCUGCUACAGUCAACGAUGAAUCUGGUCGAGAUGCUGAAGUCACUGCCAGGGAGCACAUGGGUUCCAGCAGCUCCCUCCCGUCCCGGGAAGAGAAGCAAGAGCCUGUUGUGGUAAGGCCCUAUCCACAGGUGCAGAUGUUGUCUACACACCAUGCUGUCGCAUCGGGCACACCUGUCACAGUGGCAGCCCCACCGGCACACCUGACGCCAGCAGUGCCACUCUCAUUUUCGGAGGGACUUAUGAAGCCGCCCCCGAAGCCCACCAUGCCUAGUCGUCCCAUUGCUCCUGCUCCACCUUCUACCUUGUCACUUCCCCCCAAGGUUCCAGGGCAGGUUACCGUUACCAUGGAGAGUAGCAUCCCUCAAGCUUCCGCCAUUCCUGUGGCAACAAUCAGUGGACAACAGGGACACCCCAGUAGCCUGCAUCAUAUCAUGACCACAAAUGUACAGAUGUCCAUCAUCCGCAGCAGUGCCCCGGGACCCCCUCUGCACAUCGGAGCGUCUCAUCUACCUCGAGGCGCAGCCGCUGCUGCCGUGAUGUCCAGCUCCAAGGUGACCACGGUCCUGAGGCCGACCUCACAGUUGCCAAAUGCUGCCGCAGCUCAGCCUGCUGUCCAGCACAUCAUUCACCAGCCAAUCCAGUCUCGCCCACCUGUGACCACCUCUAACACCAUCCCUCCCGCUGUGGUAGCAACGGUUGCGGCCACCAGAGCUCAGUCUCCAGUCAUCACUACAACAGCAGCACAUGCGGCCGACGCGGCACUUAGUCGGCCAACUUUGUCUAUCCAGCACCCACCAUCUGCAGCAAUUAGUAUCCAGCGCCCGGCCCAGGCACGGGAUGUCACAACAAGGAUCACACUGCCAUCUCACCCUGCAUUAGGGACACCAAAACAGCAGCUUCAUGCCAUGGCUCAGAAAACGAUCUUCAGCACUGGCACACCAGUGGCCGCAGCCACAGUAGCACCUAUUUUGGCAACCAACACCAUUCCUUCAGCAACCACAGCCGGAUCUGUGUCUCACACGCAGGCACCCACGAGUACGAUUGUUACCAUGACGAUGCCCUCACACUCAUCCCACGCCCCCGCAGUGACCACCUCAAACAUCCCAGUCGCUAAGGUGGUGCCUCAACAGAUCACACACACUUCCCCUCGGAUCCAGCCUGACUACCCUGCGGAGAGGGGUAGCCUGAUCCCCAUUUCAGGACACCGGGCCUCUCCAAAUCCUGUGGCCAUGGAAACCCGAAGUGACAAUAGACCAUCUGUUCCUGUUCAGUUCCAGUACUUUUUGCCAACGUACCCACCUUCUGCGUACCCACUGGCCGCACACACGUACACUCCAAUCACCAGCUCUGUGUCCACCAUCCGACAGUAUCCAGUUUCAGCUCAAGCUCCAAACUCUGCCAUCACAGCUCAGACUGGUGUUGGGGUGGCAUCUACAGUCCACCUGAACCCCAUGCAGCUGAUGACAGUAGAUGCAUCUCAUGCUCGACACAUCCAGGGGAUCCAGCCAGCACCCAUCAGCACACAGGGGAUCCAGCCAGCCCCCAUUGGGACCCCAGGAAUACAGCCAGCACCAAUCGGCACACAGGGAAUUCACUCAGCAACCCCAAUCAGCACACAGGGACUUCAGCCUGCCCCAGUGGGUACUCAGCAGCCUCAGCCGGAAGGAAAGACGUCAGCAGUGGUGUUGGCAGACGGCGCCACCAUUGUGGCCAACCCCAUUAACAGUCCAUUCAGUGCCGCUCCAGCAGCAACCACUGUGGUGCAGACCCACAGCCAGAGCGCGAGCGCCAGCGCGCCAGCCCCAGGCUCGUCCCCCCGUCCGAGCAUCCUCCGGAAGAAACCCACCACAGAUGGAAUGGCAGUUCGGAAAACCCUCAUUCCCCCUCAGCCUCCUGAAGUAGCUGGUCCUCGAGUGGAGAGCUCUCUGCGGAGUACGUCCGGGUCUCCCAGGCCUGCAGGUGCCAAACCUAAAUCAGAAAUCCACGUAUCGGUGGCCACUCCAGUCACCGUGUCCAUGGAGACGGCAUCCAAUCAGAGUAAUGACCAGCCCACCAUCGCAGUACCACCCGCAGCUCAGCAGCCUGCGCCGAGCAUUCCAGCCGUGAUGGCAGCUAGUCCACCCUCACAACCCGCAGCUGCCCUUUCAGCCGUUCCUGGGGCAGUGCCCGCCCCUCCGCCCGCCACUGCCAUUGCCACCGCCCCCCCGCCCCCAGCGGCCGUGGGUGGCAGUCUCUCCUCCGUUUUGGGCCCUGCUGUCCCUGAUAUAAAAGUUAAAGAGGAAGUGGAACCGAUGGACAUCAUGCGGCCGGUGUCUGCAGUUCCUCCACUGGCUCCCAGCACUGUGUCUCCAUCUCUUGCUUUGCUGGCUAACAACCUGUCCAUGCCUACAAGUGACCUACCGCCUGGUGCCUCACCAAGGAAAAAGCCUCGGAAGCAACAGCACGUGAUUUCAACUGAAGAAGGCGAUAUGAUGGAGACGAAUAGCACCGAUGAUGAGAAGUCUGCUGCUAAGAGCCUCCUGGUGAAAGCUGAGAAGCGCAAGUCUCCUCCCAAGGAGUAUAUCGAUGAAGAAGGUGUGAGGUACGUCCCAGUGCGUCCAAGACCCCCCAUUACUUUGCUCCGUCACUACCGAAACCCCUGGAAAGCUGCAUACCACCACUUUCAGCGGUAUAGUGAUGUCCGAGUCAAAGAGGAGAAGAAAGCGAUGCUGCAGGAAAUAGCUAAUCAGAAAGGAGUAUCCUGUCGUGCCCAAGGCUGGAAAGUCCACCUCUGUGCUGCGCAGUUGCUCCAGCUGCCCCUGCUUGUUCACUCUGUUCCUGAGUGCAGCCCCCGUGCGGCCCUGCGUGGUGUGCGGUGUCCUCCUCCCCUGGGCUACAAAUCUAGAGCAUGAUGUUUAUGAAAGACUCACCAACCUACAGGAAGGGAUUAUCCCAAAGAAAAAAGCAGCAACAGAUGAUGACCUGCACCGAAUAAAUGAGCUGAUCCAGGGAAACAUGCAGAGGUGUAAACUUGUGAUGGAUCAAAUCAGUGAGGCCAGAGACUCCAUGCUUAAGGUUUUAGAUCAUAAAGAUCGUGUCCUGAAGCUUCUGAACAAGAAUGGGACUGUCAAGAAGGUGUCAAAAUUGAAGCGAAAAGAAAAGGUCUAGACCAAGAAGAAUCAAGAGGACUUUGGAAACAGAAUUUAUGAAGAAUGGGGGUGGGGGUGGGGGGAGGGCUUUGGUUUAUUUUCAAGUGGAGCACUGAGAUCAAGUGUUCCUCAGUUCCCACGGGAAGCAGAGGGCCGUGGCAGCCGUUGGCAGGAGAGGAUCAGAGCAGAUCUGGCACAGCGAGCUGCUCGCAUUUGGGUGCAUCCCUCCCAAGCUCUCUGGGCCGUGCGGGACUCCUGACGCUCCAGCGUCUGCCAGUUGGAAUCAGUGACACAAAUGAAUGGCCAGUGUUUUUCAGUCUUCUGGUUUAUAAACUGUAUUUAUCUGGUGGAUUCCUGCAGGACCUGUACCGAGCCUGGACUGAAAGUACCCACUCAGACCACCAGUUAUCUCUUCACACUGCAGUUCACACCUUUUCCUCUCACUCCCCUCUGACCUUCAAAUGCCUAAGCUGGCCUUUCACAGCAGUGCCAUGGCUCCUCAAGACCUGCCACAUCUCACUCUAUAAAGGGUUUGAACAGUUCUUGUCAUUUUUUUAAAGAACCAUUUCAAAGUGAAAUUGUUAUAUUGUUUGUCCUGCGUGUGUGAGUUGAGUUUUUGUGGAGGUUCAGAGCGGGCAGCACCAAAGUUGCUCUGACGUCCCUGUUCUGAAGUACAUUCUUGGCUAUCUGUACUUCUGUAGCUGGUGAUGCUGUUAAUUGUAUGUACCACACAUCUCCAAAAGUUAAUAAAGGACUCAAAGGGGUUUUGUACCUG